rnacentral:rRNA from 1 species
AGCGCAGGUGGUUUAUUAAGUCUGGUGUAAAAGGCAGUGGCUCAACCAUUGUAUGCAUUGGAAACUGGUAGACUUGAGUGCAGGAGAGGAGAGUGGAAUUCCAUGUGUAGCGGUGAAAUGCGUAGAUAUAUGGAGGAACACCGGUGGCGAAAGCGGCUCUCUGGCCUGUAACUGACACUGAGGCUCGAAAGGCGUGGGGAGCAAACA